CCUACGGGAGGCAGCAGUGAGGAAUAUUGGUCAAUGGCCGUAAGGCUGAACCAGCCAAGUCGCGUGAAGGAAGAAGGCCCUCGGGUUGUAAACUUCUUUUAUUCGGGACGAAACAAAUGACGGUACCGAAUGAAUAAGCCACGGCUAACUACGUGCCAGCAGCCGCGGCAAUACGUAGGUGGCAAGCGUUAUCCGGAUUUACUGGGUGUAAAGGGCGUGUAGGCGGGAGGGUAAGUCAGACGUGAAAUUCCAGGGCUCAACCCUGGAACUGCGUUUGAAACUGUUAUUCUUGAGUGAUGGAGAGGCAGGCGGAAUUCCGGGUGUAGCGGUGAAAUGCGUAGAUAUACGGAGGAACACCAGUGGCGAAGGCAGCCUGCUGAACAGUAACUGACGCUGAGGCGCGAAAGCGUGGGGAGCAAACAGGAUUAGAUACCCCAGUAGUC
rnacentral:rRNA from 1 species